CCUACGGGAGGCAGCAGUGGGGAAUAUUGGACAAUGGGCGAAAGCCUGAUCCAGCCAUGCCGCGUGUGUGAAGAAGGCCUUCGGGUUGUAAAGCACUUUCAGUGGGGAAGAAAGCCUUGGGGCUAAUACCCUCGAGGAAGGACAUCACCCACAGAAGAAGCACCGGCUAACUCCGUGCCAGCAGCCGCGGUAAUACGGAGGGUGCGAGCGUUAAUCGGAAUUACUGGGCGUAAAGCGCGCGUAGGCGGUCUGAUAAGCAGGUUGUGAAAGCCCCGGGCUCAACCUGGGAACGGCAUCCGGAACUGUCAGGCUAGAGUGCAGGAGAGGAAGGUAGAAUUCCCGGGGUAGCGGUGAAAUGCGUAGAGAUCGGGAGGAAUACCAGUGGCGAAGGCGGCCUUCUGGACUUACACUGACGCUGAGGUGCGAAAGCGUGGGUAGCAAACAGGAUUAGAUACCCCUGUAUC
rnacentral:rRNA from 1 species